rnacentral:rRNA from 1 species
GGCUUAACACAUGCAAGUCGAGGGGCAGCAUUUUAGUUUGCUUGCAAACUAAAGAUGGCGACCGGCGCACGGGUGAGUAACACGUAUCCAACCUGCCGAUAACUCGGGGAUAGCCUUUCGAAAGAAAGAUUAAUAUCCGAUAGUAUAUUAAAACCGCAUGGUUUUACUAUUAAAGAAUUUCGGUUAUCGAUGGGGAUGCGUUCCAUUAGUUUGGUGGCGGGGUAACGGCCCACCAAGACUACGAUGGAUAGGGGUUCUGAGAGGAAGGUCCCCCACAUUGGAACUGAGACACGGUCCAAACUCCUACGGGAGGCAGCAGUGAGGAAUAUUGGUCAAUGGACGAGAGUCUGAACCAGCCAAGUAGCGUGAAGGAUGACUGCCCUAUGGGUUGUAAACUUCUUUUAUAUGGGAAUAAAGUAUUCCACGUGUGGGAUUUUGUAUGUACCAUAUGAAUAAGGAUCGGCUAACUCCGUGCCAGCAGCCGCGGUAAUACGGAGGAUCCGAGCGUUAUCCGGAUUUAUUGGGUUUAAAGGGAGCGUAGGUGGAUUGUUAAGUCAGUUGUGAAAGUUUGCGGCUCAACCGUAAAAUUGCAGUUGAAACUGGCAGUCUUGAGUACAGUAGAGGUGGGCGGAAUUCGUGGUGUAGCGGUGAAAUGCUUAGAUAUCACGAAGAACUCCGAUUGCGAAGGCAGCUCACUAGACUGCAACUGACACUGAUGCUCGAAAGUGUGGGUAUCAAACAGGAUUAGAUACCCUGGUAGUCCACACAGUAAACGAUGAAUACUCGCCUGUUUGCGAUAUACAGUAAAGCGGCCAAGCGAAAGCAUUAAGUAUUCCACCUGGGGAGUACGCCGGCAACGGUGAAACUCAAAGGAAUUGACGGGGGCCCGCACAAGCGGAGGAACAUGUGGUUUAAUUCGAUGAUACGCGAGGAACCUUACCCGGGCUUAAAUUGCAUUUGAAUAAUCUGGAAACAGGUUAGCCGCAAGGCAAAUGUGAAGGUGCUGCAUGGUUGUCGUCAGCUCGUGCCGUGAGGUGUCGGCUUAAGUGCCAUAACGAGCGCAACCCUUAUCUUUAGUUACUAACAGGUUAUGCUGAGGACUCUAGAGAGACUGCCGUCGUAAGAUGUGAGGAAGGUGGGGAUGACGUCAAAUCAGCACGGCCCUUACGUCCGGGGCUACACACGUGUUACAAUGGGGGGUACAGAAGGCAGCUACCUGGCGACAGGAUGCUAAUCCCAAAAACCUCUCUCAGUUCGGAUCGAAGUCUGCAACCCGACUUCGUGAAGCUGGAUUCGCUAGUAAUCGCGCAUCAGCCAUGGCGCGGUGAAUACGUUCCCGGGCCUUGUACA